rnacentral:piRNA from 1 species
UGAAUGUGUUACCUCACUCAGGAUGAUG